AGCGUAGGUGGAUAUUUAAGUGGGAUGUGAAAUGCUCGGGCUCAACCUGAGAGCUGCAUUCCAAACUGGAUAUCUAGAGUGCAGGAGAGGAAAGUAGAAUUCCUAGUGUAGCGGUGAAAUGCGUAGAGAUUAGGAAGAAUACCAGUGGCGAAGGCGACUUUCUGGACUGUAACUGACACUGAGGCUCGAAAGCGUGGGGAGCAAACA
rnacentral:rRNA from 1 species